rnacentral:rRNA from 1 species
UGGUCAUUUAGAGGAAGUAAAAGUCGUAACAAGGUCUCCGUAGGUGAACCUGCGGAGGGAUCAUUAUCGAAUGGCCCCUGUGCCUUCAACCCUUCAAAACCUGUGGAAGCGACUCGUGCUUCGGUGCUCAGGCACCGCUUUUAUGCAGAAGUCUGUCUCGACGUCUGAAUUGAAAAUGGAAAUGAAAAACUUUCAACAAAGGAUCUCUUGGCUCUCGCAUCGAUGAAGAACGUAGUGAAGCGCGAAAUGUAGUGUGAAUCGCAGAACAUUGUGAAUCAUCGAAUCUUUGAACGCACAUUGCGCCUCCCUUUAUGGGGAGGCRUGCCUGUCUGAGCGUCAUUUAAAUCUAUAGGACCGACUGGGUUCUGUGUUGGGCCUCGCCCGUGAGGGCGUCGCCUCGAACGAAUCGGUCGAAUGAGCGGAUGAGAUCCAAUAGGACUGACCGUUCAGAGACCUUAAAUCUCUGAUUUGACCUCAGAUCAGGUAGGGACACCGCCUGAACUUAAGCAUAUCA